GUCAAGAGAAGAAAGAAAUCGAUAAUCGUGAAGAGUGUCCAAUGUUCGACCUUUCUUUAUUUUUCUAUCAAGGGUAGUCUGAGAUAAUUAUGAAUUUCGAGUGAAAUGUAUUAGACAAAUAAGGGUGGUAUAUUAAUACAAGUCCAAAAUGUUACAGUUCUUCAAAAAGUUGAGAAAUUAAUAAGAAGGGAUGAGUUUGAAAUUUCAAAUAAUUUUUGUUAUAACAAGAUAAUGAGAAAUAAAUAAUAUAUAAGAUAUUAUUGUAAGCUUGAGAAUGAUAUGAAGAAUGUAUACUUUGAAAUAUAUCUCAACAACAUAACUUAAUUUCGAGGACGAAAUUAUUUGAAGGGGGGAGAAUGGAACACCCCGGCCCAAAUUGGGCCCAGAAUCAGCCAC
rnacentral:lncRNA from 1 species